ACUGAUAGUGAUGGUUUUUGGAGAACAAUAAAAAGGUGUUCUGGGAGUUUUCGGAAACAAGAAUACACACUCUUUGAAAACACGGAGAACUCUUUUCACUUAAAAAGAACGGGAGUAAGAUAUCUCGUUUAUAACAUUACCCACAUCUCCUCAGCUGCACCAAGUGUUCUCUCUCUUCAAGGCUUGAAGCUCUCUCACUCUGACAGAUUUCUUUGUGAAGUCUCUCUUCAAGCUAUCUCUCUCUCAGUUUCUUACGCUUCUCUUAGGCAGAAAAGGUCGAUCUGCGUUUCUCUUCCUACAAUCAUCUCUGUGUGCGGAUACUGAAAAUAACGAGGGAGAAAUGUGUGGAUGAAUGAUAAUUCCACAUUUUUUAGGAACAUGGAGCAAAGCAGCAGACCUUCCCUAGAGGAUUACUUGAAAGGAAGGAGUAGUUCAUAAAGCUUACAUUAGCUUCUCUUGUAUUCUAUUUAAACGCCUUUUAUUUGUUUACAAGUAAUUUCUGCUACAAGCCAAGGCUAACAGAGUGUGUAGUUCGUCCUUGUACAGUCAGGGAAAGGAAAAAAAAAAAAAUUUGCACCCCCUGAUGAGGAAACGGUAGUUUAUGUUUGUAGGCACUGAGUUCAUGUAAGGUUAUUAAUGGAAGAAGCCCAAGAUAGAAAGGGUUCAAAGUUUGCAACACAAAAUAUGUGUCCUGAUUAAAGUUUUUUUUUUU